AAGUCGUAACAAGGUUUCCGUAGGUGAACCUGCGGAAGGAUCAUUAUUGAAUAUUCUUGAUGGGUUGUAGCUGGCUCUUCGGGGCAUGUGCACGCUCGUCUUGACUUUAUUCGUCCACCUGUGCACCUUUUGUAGUCUUGUGGGUUGAGAGCAGUCAACUAUCGGACAGCUAUUACAGCCGCUCCGGAUGUGAGGAAUGCUGAGUGCGAAAGCAUACAGCUCUUCUCUACGAUUGCAAUACCUCUCCCUCGAGUACUAUGUAUUCAUAUACCACUUGUAUGUUGUCGAAUGUGAUCAAUGGGCUUAUAGCCUAUAAUAAUCAUAUACAACUUUCAGCAACGGAUCUCUUGGCUCUC
rnacentral:misc_RNA from 1 species